rnacentral:rRNA from 1 species
AACACAUGCAAGUCGAACGAUGAUCCGGUGCUUGCAUCGGGGAUUAGUGGCGAACGGGUGAGUAACACGUGAGUAACCUGCCCUUAACUCUGGGAUAAGCCUGGGAAACUGGGUCUAAUACCGGAUAUGACUCCUCAUCGCAUGGUGGGGGGUGGAAAGCUUUUUUGUGGUUUUGGAUGGACUCGCGGCCUAUCAGCUUGUUGGUGAGGUAAUGGCUUACCAAGGCGACGACGGGUAGCCGGCCUGAGAGGGUGACCGGCCACACUGGGACUGAGACACGGCCCAGACUCCUACGGGAGGCAGCAGUGGGGAAUAUUGCACAAUGGGCGCAAGCCUGAUGCAGCGACGCCGCGUGAGGGAUGACGGCCUUCGGGUUGUAAACCUCUUUCAGUAGGGAAGAAGCGAAAGUGACGGUACCUGCAGAAGAAGCGCCGGCUA